rnacentral:lncRNA from 1 species
AGUUCCUAACAUUAUUAAUAUAAGCUUGGUUACUUCACAAAUAUUAAUCCCUGCAUAAUCCUCCUAGCACAGUGAAGCAAAAUGAAGUCGCAGCCACAGAAAUGUGACAGUGGAAAACCAACAGUGCUAAAAAAUGAAAUAUGUGUUAAGUCCCCAAAGAAGUUCAUUACCUGAAGGACACAUUAUCCCUUUCUCUUCCCAUGAGUCAGCAGAGUCAGUAGUCAUGCCUAAUUGGUUUAAAGCUUACUAUGAAAUAUUAGGAUGCCAUAGUAUGUGAUGACACAGCUGUAUUCCUGAGGGGAUGGCUGAGACGAAUCUGUGUACAACGGAGACAGGUGGAGACAAAGGGAGCAGGUGGAAAUGGGUUGUAAAUAUACUACAACUUAAAAAAUAAUGGGGUGUUUUUUCCCUACAGGUUUCUGGUGCUUCACUGCUAAUUAAAUAUUGAAAGUAUGAAAGGAGAAAUAAAGUUUUGUGGCUCUUUGGAUUGGGGGCAUAGAUGUAAAUAUUUUGUAACAUUAACUGCAAUUUCAUUUGAAAAACACAUGCCUGGUUCUGGGAGAGUUGAAUUGUUGGCAUAUGAGCUGAGAAGAGGGCAGAUUUAAGGAAAAUAUCACCAGCUAAUGGUGAUAUCCAUUGUUUUAGGCCACAAUGGGGUCAGGGGUUGUGCAUUCUAGGGUAGUAUUUUUCAAGUUUUGGAAAACUGAUGAGCCUUUUAAACAAAAGAGGAGCUUCCCUAUGAUAAGAAUUGCAGACAAAAUCAUAUCCCACAGAGUGGAUAGGCUGUUGCCAAAUGCAGAAAAUCAAUAGGCAAAUCACUUGGAAUUCUUGGGUGAUUCACACCAGAGAGCAGUAUUUGAAUCAUUUAUGGUCUCCAUCUUCCAAGCUUGCAAUGGUGAGGCACUUGGAACUCUGAGCACUGACUCCCCAUCUUGGCUUGAGUGGAGGAUGGUCUAUACUUCCGUGAAAGGAAGUGAAAAGCUUCUGGAACCACAAGAGUCAUAGCACUUCAAGUUUGUUGGUCAGCUUCCACCAUGACUGACCAUACACUUACCUCUUCACCAUAGUUCACAGUGCAGUAGCCGACUUCAUGGUCAGCUCCCAUUAGGAAUUUCAUUUUUCCUGUUUGCUCACCCAAAAAUCUGUCUCUACCCUUGCCCUCUUGGUUCUACUCUGCCUGUAGGAUCCCAUGGGAAAGUGGCUUCCUCCUUGACCUCCAUACAACACUCCAUCAGCGGGACUUAGUCAAAAGACUCAGUUCCAUGGCCCAUUCUCCCACUCACAGACAAGUAGCACCUACUUCCUCAUCUGAGAAAUGCCUUCCAUGACUCCUUCCUGAGGUUUGGUUUGGGGGCAACAUCCAAGUAGGAUAGACUCUGUGAGUAUUUUAUCAAAGGGGAGACAGUGUGGGUUAGUGGGCAGACCCCAUGACUUGUAGCCAGGUGUCCUUAAAUGUGAAUAUGGAGCUUCAAUAUGUGAUCAGAAGGAAACCACUAGAGAACCUGAAAUAAUCAAACUCAUGGAAGCAGAGAGGAGACUGGUGUGUGCCAGCAGCUAAGAGAAGAAUGCAUAAAAAGGUACGAAGUUUCAGUUAUAUGAGAUUUCUAGAGAUCUACUGCACAGAACUACAGUUAACAAUACUACAUUGUAUAUUUUAAAAUCUCUUGGGUUAGACCAUGAUGGAAGAUAAUAUAAGAAAGGGAAUGUGUGGGAGUUCCCAUUGCGGGGUGGUGGAAAUGAAUCCAAUUAGUAUCUAUGAGGAUGCAGGUUCGAUCCCUGGCCUCUCUCAGUAGAGUGGUGUAGGUCACAGAUGAGGCUCAGAUCACACAUUGCUGUGGUGGACAACUGUAGCUCCAAUUUGACCCCUAGCCUGGGAACUUCCAUAUGCCAUUAGUGUAGCCGUGAAAAGAAAGGAAGUGUGUGUGUGUGUGGGGGGGGUCACUUUGCAGUAUAGAUGAAAUCGGCACAAUGUUAUAAAUCAACUGUACUUUAAUAAAAAAAUUUUUAAUUUAAAAAAUAAAAUGUGCUGCAAGGGUAGAUCUUAUGUCAAGUAUUCUUAUCAUAAAAAUAAUUACAAUAAUAGUAAAUAAAAGGGUGAGAAGAAACUUUUGAGGUGAUGGAUUUGUCUAUGGCAUAGAUGGCAGCAGUAGUUUCAGGGAUGUAUAUUUAUCUCCAAAGUCAUCAAGCUGUAUACAUUAAAUAUGUAUACAUAGGUACAUGUAUGUGUACUUAUAAGUAAGCACAGUCUUUUGUGUGUCAAUCAUAUCUCAAUAAAGUGGAUUUUUUAAAUUCAGGAUAUAAUAGUUUUCAUGAAGAGGUUUUGUGAAAACUAAAGGACUAACACAUAAGAUACCCUGGCAUGCACUGGUGCUCAGCAAAUAUUGGUCUUUCCCUUCCCCAGGCAUUAUUAUUAUAGAUAUCUGAACUGACUCCAACUGAGUGAACUGGUCUGCAAAUGGGACCGUGAAAUCUACAACAUCCUCUGGCACCUUUGACUGACACCCAUGCCCCUGUGCUCUGAAUGCCUGUCAGCUCCAGUUCUGGCCCCUUCCUCAUCUCUCUAGACUCAACUCACAGAAAAAAACCAACAGCAAGGAACAGCAUGGGCUAGAGGCAUCCAGGAUGAACCCAACCCACCUCCCUCCUCUUCGUAAAGAUACCACGAACCUGGUAGUGGGAGUUACUUGUAGAAAGAAUGAAAGGGCUACAAAGGAGGCCAAUUGGGGUCCUUUGGAAAGAAGAAGAAUUUGGGGUGCUAAGACUCAAGGAAUUGGACUGUUUUCCAAGUGGGAAGACCCUUCUCCUUGGAAAAGGCAAAACAGGCCAGAGCAGAGCAAAUCUCAAGAAAAAGAAUCUGAGUGGUUGGGACUCAUAUCAUCAUCAGAACUGAUAUCCCUCUCAUGUCUUUUAAAGGAGAAAUGGAAAGAAAACCAAGGGAUUUUCUUCUGUGCUUUCUAGUCCAUGGAUAGAGACGAGACAGUGGCAGAAGCCCCAUUCAGCAAAAGCAUGUACAAAUGGUGACUUCUCACUGAGCAGGAUAAACAAGACCCUUGAGUGGACAUCCCUAGAGGAGAGAAGAGUAAGUCUCUCUGAUGUUGCACAGAAUUACUGAGCGAUUGUGCUGAUGUUAAUACCACUCAGGAGGGGCUAUCAUGAUAUGCCAAGGUGACAGAAACUUACCAAUAGUCGUGAUUGGAAUUGUCAAUGAGAAAGUCCAGCCCCUUCCAUCUGAGCUCCAUUGGGGUGAGAGAUAAUAGGGAAUGGAUGACAUACAGUGGCUUAUCAGGAAGGGUUCAAUAUAUCAGAUUUGGAUCCCAUCUCAAAUGAAGGGCAAGUCCAAUGGUCAAGUCCAUAGAGGAAUGUAAAAAGCCAUGAUGGAAAAGCAAAGAUAAGGUGACAGUCGAAAGGAAGCAUGGUGACAUCUUUUCAGAGAGGUAAAGUCACAUGUCUGAGGUCACACAGCUCUAAAUGUAGGAACCAGGAAAAACUUGCAGUGUGCCUGGCUCCAGAGAAGAUACUCCUUCUUCCAUCUGCUUCCCCCCAACAGAAAGGGAUCCUUGUAGGUGGGUCCCCCCACCCUAAACUGGCCAUUGUCUGAGACAGAUCCCUUGUAUUUUAACAUAGUAUAAUCAUACUGUCUAACUUUCCUUUUUAAGUUACCAUAUUGGCAUUAAUUAAUGUUGGGAAAGAACAAGCAGACAUGGUAGACGUCAGAGUACAGAUAUAUUUAUUAACAUUAUGUCUGCAUGCCAGACACAACAUCUGCAUUCAACUGAGGUGGCAGGCUGUAGCUCAGCUACAGGUUGGGCUCCAGGCAAACAAAUGAAGCCCCACACUUCCAAAACAACCCUUAAGUUGUUCAUCCAUGCUAGUCAUUCAUCAUAAUCACAUUCUCUUAGUCUAAUGUUACAGAAUGGGGCUCAUCUUCCCUCUGUCUCUUCACUGAUCCUUCCUGGGUCAAAUUGGGUGUGCCUGCAGAGGGACUGAUCCCAAAAAAAAGGUGGGGAGGUGAACACUGGUGUCCCCACUUUGUAGAUGUGCUCACUGGACAUCAGAGACGGUGGGGAACUUGUCCACAUCCCACAGCAAAAUUCAGCCUCACUGGGUGUCUUCUAUAGCCUAUUCUCCCAUUCCUUCCCUCCCCCUCUUUUCUAUCAUUUUCUUUGUUAGAGAUAAUUCUCCUUUCCCCUUGCCUAACUCAUAAUUCCUUUGAGGAAAAUGCUAGGCUUUGUAAAAAUCCAGUUCUGAAAUCCUAAUAGGGAUACAAAUUUAAAUGAUUCCCAUAUGAGUUAAAAAUUUCCAUAUGAGUCAAAAAUCAUGUCCUCAGUACCUAAUGCUGACUUCUACAGGAAAUGGAUGUAUCCCAAUAUCCAUUGAUGCAAUAAGUAAAUUUUUUGAACCCACCCCCCACCCCUGGGUAACUCUUCCAUGGUCUAAUAGCUUUGAGGUGGAAAUAAUGCUCUAAAUUUUCAAAAUAAAUUCCUUAAACCAGCCUCCCAAUUUUUUUCACUUAUUCCAAUGUUCUAUGUAUCAGGAUGGAAAAGGCAUGUUACUCCUUUGUUGUUUUCUUUGUGUCAUUCAAAUGUUGGUAACUUAUCAAAUGCCCAGUAAAUUUCUUGACAAAGAUAAAUUUUAGUGUGUCCUAAUAUGCAAUAGUUGGCUAUAAAUUAUACUCUGACUCUAAAAAUUCCCCUGUUAUAUGCAUAUUGUCUAUUGAAAUAAAUAUUUCUUACCUACUUUGGGAAAACUUGUAGGGAAAACAAGUUUUGUUUUUCCAUGCUUCUAUUACCUAAUAUUUUAGAAUAUGUGUAAUAUAUGCACAGAUAUAUAUAUGCAUGUGUGUGUGUGUUUGUUGUAUGAAGCAAAAUAAACAAAUCCCUGCCAACUCAUCCUCAUGAUUAAGGGAAAACUCUCCAGCAGUACUGUUACUAUUCCCCAGCCAGUUGAACAACCCCAGAAGUAACCGUUAUUAUUUUUAAUCUUUGUCAUGCUCUUACUUUUGUUAUUUAACAAAACACUGUAUUUUUUUGGAUUUUUCUUGUUUUGAGCUUUAUAAAAGUAUAACCAAAAUGUAGUUAGUUUUGGCAAAUUGCUUUUUCUCUUAACACUAUGUUUCUAAAUUUAAUCUGUGUUGGAUCAUUCUUUGAUACUUAUUUAUUUUGCUGCAUUGUAUUCCACUGUAUGAUUACACCAUGGUUUAUUUAUUCUUUCUCCUGCUGGUGGACAUUUAAGAUAUUUACAACUUUUUGCUGCUAGGAAUAAGUCAGUUAUGAUCAUUCUUGCACUUCUCCCAGCACACCAUGCACAGAGUUUCUAGGGUAGAUAUUAGGAGUAGAAAUUCUAGCCGUUUGACUAUAUGAAUAUUCACUCCUCAUAAUAACAUUAGAUUAUUUUCCAAAUUAGUUAUACUAGAUUAUCCUUCAACCAGUUUAUUAGAGAGACCAUUGUUCCACAUCCACUCUAAAUUUGUAUUAUCUGACUUUUACAUUUUUCCCCAUUUAGUUGGUAUGAAAUAGUAUUUCAUGGUGCUUUGUAAUUUCCCUGACUAUUAAUGAAGUUGAAUACAUUUUCAUAUGUUCAUGCACUAUUUGAGAUUCCUCUUCUGUGAAAUGCUUAAACUCAUCUUCUGCAAAAGGCACAUGAUGUUUGCUUCUGUCCAACAAGACUUCUUUUGGAGAAACACUAAUUUUCCACUCCUGCAGCUCUAACAAGGCAGUCAGACACAGGAACUUCACCCCAGCCCACAGGAAUCAGCACAGUAAGCAGGAAUCCCAAUCAAGGCAGUGCAUUUCCCUGCUCCAAGCCAUCACCAAAUUUGGGCCACCCCAAGUAUACUUCCCUAGAACUAAUGGCUAGACCCUAGGGGGAAAAUGUUCUCUGUCUGUUGAAGUACAUGGCCAUGUCAAUAGCCAUCCUCCCUGGAUACAUAGAGGAAACUUAAGCCCAAGGGAGAGAGCCUGGCCCAUAAACAGAGGGAAGCAGAACUAGAAACUAGAGUGUGAUGAGUCUUGAUGAGAUUGUUUGAGAUCUUGGAUAUCAUUAUGCCUCAAGAUGGCUUUGAUUUUCCAAUAAGAUGAGCCAAGUAAGCUUUUUUGCUCAGGUUUACUUUGAAUUAGAUUUCUGUCAAUCUACUGUCUAAGUAGAUAAUCUCUGCAAUUCUGGAAGGUGGACAAGGUGAAUAUUAUUAUUAUCAUUCACACUGCACAAAUGAGAGAUUUGAGUACUUCUAUCAUAAGUCCUUUUCAGCAAUCUGGAACUGCUCUUUAAUUACUAUUAUCCCCAAUACUCACAAAACUAUUAAGAUAAAUUAGAGAGUAACUAAUUUAAUAUACAGUUAGAGAAAGGAAAGUCUAUCUUGGAAGAGAAGUGGGUCAGUGAACAUGUACUGAUCACACACAGAGUCUAAUAAUCAACAAAUAUCUCACCUAAAAGCAUUCUUUGAAAAGCAUUUUAGUCCAAGCCCAUUUACCUAAAAAACUUUGGGGAGCGGGGAGGGGGGAAACGUUUGGCUCUCAAACUUGAGCAAAAAGUACUUCCAGAUGCCCUUGGACCUUCUUUGGAAAACUAACUUUCAAGAAUAUUCCAGAAUCAUUAUUUUCAACCAGAUUAUUGGCUGUAUUUCAUGACAGAAACACAUUCUGAUAACUUCUCAAUAUCUGAGCUACUGAUUG